rnacentral:rRNA from 1 species
UACGGAGGGUGCGAGCGUUGUCCGGAAUCACUGGGCGUAAGGGGCGCGUAGGUGGCGCGGAAAGUCAACGGUGAAAGCUUGGGGCUCAACCCCGAGUCGGCCGUCGAUACUUCUGGGCUUGAGCACUGUAGAGGCAGGUGGAAUUCCGGGUGUAGCGGUGGAAUGCGUAGAGAUCCGGAAGAACACCGGUGGCGAAGGCGGCCUGCUGGGCAGUAGCUGACACUGAUGCGCGACAGCGUGGGGAGCAAACAGG